CGGCUGACGCUGCUAUACUGCAGUAGAACGCUGAAGAAAGGAGCUUGCUUCUUUUGGAUGAGUUGCGAACGGGUGAGUAACGCGUAGGUAACCUGCCUUGUAGCGGGGGAUAACUAUUGGAAACGAUGGCUAAUACCGCAUAACAGCUUUUGACACAUGUUAGAAGCUUGAAAGAUGCAAUUGCAUCACUACGAGAUGGACCUGCGUUGUAUUAGCUAGUAGGUAGGGUAACGGCCUACCUAGGCGACGAUACAUAGCCGACCUGAGAGGGUGAUCGGCCACACUGGGACUGAGACACGGCCCAGACUCCUACGGGAGGCAGCAGUAGGGAAUCUUCGGCAAUGGGGGCAACCCUGACCGAGCAACGCCGCGUGAGUGAAGAAGGUUUUCGGAUCGUAAAGCUCUGUUGUAAGAGAAGAACGUGUGUGAGAGUGGAAAGUUCACACAGUGACGGUAACUUACCAGAAAGGGACGGCUAACUACGUGCCAGCAGCCGCGGUAAUACGUAGGUCCCGAGCGUUGUCCGGAUUUAUUGGGCGUAAAGCGAGCGCAGGCGGUUUAAUAAGUCUGAAGUUAAAGGCAGUGGCUUAACCAUUGUUCGCUUUGGAAACUGUUAAACUUGAGUGCAGAAGGGGAGAGUGGAAUUCCAUGUGUAGCGGUGAAAUGCGUAGAUAUAUGGAGGAACACCGGUGGCGAAAGCGGCUCUCUGGUCUGUAACUGACGCUGAGGCUCGAAAGCGUGGGGGAGCAAACAGGAUUAGAUACCCUGGUAGUCCACGCCGUAACGAUGAGUGCUACGUGUUAGGCCCUUUUCCGGGCUUAGUGCCGCAUCUAACGCAUAAGCACUCCGCCUGGGGAGUACGACCGCAUGUUGAAACUCAGAUGAAUUGACGGGGACCGC
rnacentral:rRNA from 1 species